AAGUGUUAAACUACCGUAGACAGCAAGUGGCGAACGCCUUAAUUUCUUGCCGAGGAAGUUCCGAAUUUAUGGAUCUAUCUCUCUGUGUCUAAGGUGACAUAGAGAUUUUUUUUUGAA
rnacentral:sRNA from 1 species